GAGUUUGAUCAUGGCUCAGAUUGAACGCUGGCGGCAUGCCUAACACAUGCAAGUCGAGCGAGGUGUAGCAAUACAUCUAGCGGCGGACGGGUGAGGAACACAUAGGAAUCUGCCUCAGAGCGGGGGAUAGCCCAGGGAAACUUGGAGUAAUACCGCAUGAUGUCGAGAGACCAAAGCCGGGGACCGCAAGGCCUGGCACUCUGAGAGGAGCCUAUGUCUGAUUAGCUAGUUGGUGAGGUAAUGGCUCACCAAGGCGACGAUCAGUAACUGGUCUGAGAGGACGAUCAGUCACACUGGAACUGAGGCACGGUCCAGACUCCUACGGGAGGCAGCAGUGGGGAAUAUUGGACAAUGGGCGCAAGCCUGAUCCAGCAAUGCCGCGUGUGUGAAGAAGGCCUUC
rnacentral:rRNA from 1 species